rnacentral:rRNA from 1 species
GAGUUUGAUCAUGGCUCAGGACGAACGCUGGCGGCGUGCCUAAUACAUGCAAGUCGAGCGAAGUUUUUCUGGUGCUUGCACUAGAAAAACUUAGCGGCGAACGGGUGAGUAACACGUAAAGAACCUGCCUCAUAGACUGGGACAACUAUUGGAAACGAUAGCUAAUACCGGAUAACAGCAUUAACUGCAUGGUUGAUGUUUGAAAGUUGGUUUUGCUAACACUAUGAGAUGGCUUUGCGGUGCAUUAGCUAGUUGGUGGGGUAAAGGCCUACCAAGGCGACGAUGCAUAGCCGACCUGAGAGGGUGAUCGGCCACACUGGGACUGAGACACGGCCCAGACUCCUACGGGAGGCAGCAGUAGGGAAUCUUCCGCAAUGGGCGAAAGCCUGACGGAGCAACGCCGCGUGAGUGAAGAAGGAUUUCGGUUCGUAAAGCUCUGUUGUUAGGGAAGAAUGAUUAUGUAGUAACUAUACAUAGUAGAGACGGUACCUAACCAGAAAGCCACGGCUAACUACGUGCCAGCAGCCGCGGUAAUACGUAGGUGGCAAGCGUUGUCCGGAAUUAUUGGGCGUAAAGCGCGCGCAGGUGGUUUAAUAAGUCUGAUGUGAAAGCCCACGGCUCAACCGUGGAGGGUCAUUGGAAACUGUUAAACUUGAGUGCAGGAGAGAAAAGUGGAAUUCCUAGUGUAGCGGUGAAAUGCGUAGAGAUUAGGAGGAACACCAGUGGCGAAGGCGGCUUUUUGGCCUGUAACUGACACUGAGGCGCGAAAGCGUGGGGAGCAAACAGGAUUAGAUACCCUGGUAGUCCACGCCGUAAACGAUGAGUGCUAAGUGUUGGUCUCAUAAGAGAUCAGUGCUGCAGCUAACGCAUUAAGCACUCCGCCUGGGGAGUACGACCGCAAGGUUGAAAACUCAAAGGAAUUGACGGGGACCCGCACAAGCGGUGGAGCAUGUGGUUUAAUUCGAAGCAAACGCGAAGAACCUUACCAAGUCUUGACAUACUGUGAGGACACAAGAGAUUGUGUUGUUCUGACCUUUGGUUAGACACAGAUACAGGUGGUGCAUGGUUGUCGUCAGCUCGUGUCGUGAGAUGUUGGGUUAAGUCCCGCAACGAGCGCAACCCUUAUAUCUAGUUGCCAGCAGUAAGAUGGGGACUCUAGAUAGACUGCCAGUGAUAAAACUGGAGGAAGGUGGGGAUGACGUCAAAAUCAUCAUGCCCCUUAUGACUUGGGCUACACAACGUGCUACAAUGGAUGGGAACAAAGGGAAAGGGGGCUCGGGGGAGUAACCAACCCUCCCGAAAACUUUUUUCCGUUCGGGAUGGUGUUCGGCGAACUGGACUACAAGGAGGCGGGAAUGGUUGGUAUUCGGGGAAUCAGGAAGGUGGCGGUGAAUACUUUCCCGGGGUUCUUGUACACCCCCCCCGUCA